AAACCACUGUCAUAGACGUAAUAUGUCGUGACUAAUGAAAUUAAUGUUGAUGGAUUAUACGACUAUUUGAAUGUAAUCGUAAGUAUAUAUUUGUUUUUCUACAUACAAGAUGUGUUCGGUAAAAACACUCCAAAUUAUUCGCAUCAUCGUGCACACAAAAAUAUUCGGAUUAUUCGACCGGUGAUACUUUAUCUGUAAACUAUCUAUUUACGUCUUUAAAUAUCUAUUCAAUUUUCUCUAAAUUAAAAAAAAAAACUG